rnacentral:rRNA from 1 species
AUUGAACGCUGGCGGCAUGCUUUACACAUGCAAGUCGAACGGUAACAGGUUAAGCUGACGAGUGGCGAACGGGUGAGUAAUGCAUCGGAACGUGCCCGAUCGUGGGGGAUAACGCAGCGAAAGCUGCGCUAAUACCGCAUACGAUCUGAGGAUGAAAGCGGAGGACCGUAAGGCCUCGCCCGAUCGGAGCGGCCGAUGGCAGAUUAGGUAGUUGGUGGGGUAAAGGCUCACCAAGCCAACGAUCUGUAGCUGGUCUGAGAGGACGACCAGCCACACUGGGACUGAGACACGGCCCAGACUCCUACGGGAGGCAGCAGUGGGGAAUUUUGGACAAUGGGCGAAAGCCUGAUCCAGCAAUGCCGCGUGCAGGAAGAAGGCCUUCGGGUUGUAAACUGCUUUUGUACGGAGCGAAAAGGUCUCCUCUAAUACAGGGGGCUCAUGACGGUACCGUAAGAAUAAGCACCGGCUAACUACGUGCCAGCCGCCGCCGUAA